AUGGAUGCUGACCAAAGCUUCUUGGACACCCUUGGUUUUGGUUACACGCAAACACAACCAGAAAGUCCAAUUGGAGAGCAGGCAACUCCAUCAACUCAGCAUCAAGCAACACCAUCAACGCAGCAACGUUCUGCAAUAAUAGAGAAAGGAAAAUCCAACAAAGGAAAAAAUUGGUCUAGUGAUGAGGACAAGGUUCUCAUAGCAGCAUGGGCAAAUACAAGUUUGGAUAUUGUUGGGACUGAUCAAAACCGAGAUGCUUAUUGGGCUAGAAUUUCAGAGUACUACAACACACACAAGGAAUCGUCAUGGCCGGAGCGUAAUCCUAAUGCGAUCAAUUGCCGUUACACAUUGAUUAACAGCGAGACCUCCAAAUUUUGUGGUUGCCUUCAGCAGAUUUUAAAUAAGGAAGAAAGUGGAAGGACUAUAGCAGAAAAGUUUGCAAAGUAUCCAAAGUGGCAGACAAGAGAACUUGAAACUUCUCUUAAGAAACAAAAGAAGACCAUUGAUGGAAGUCCAGGCACAGCCACCAAUGAUCCGUCCGAUGCAUCCUCGGUACGCACUGAUGCAACCUCGAUACACACUGAUGCUCUUGAACAUGAGAAAAGACCUGAUGGUGUUAAGAAGGACAAGAGAGGUAAAGCUGAUGAGAAUGCUUGCAAGUUGUCAUUAGAAACUGUGUGGGCAGCAAAGCAAGAGAAGGAUGAGAUCAAAGAAGCGGCAAGAAAUGCUCGCUAUGCACAGCAAUUUGAAUUGCGAAAAGAGGAGAUUGCACUCAGAAAGAAGGAGGAUGUACGAAACGAGAGGGAGGAUGCACGGAGACAGUUUGAAUUAGAUGAGAGGGUCAUGCUGAUCGACACUAGUGGUAUGACUGAUGUGCAAAAGCAGUUCUACCAAGCUAAGCAGAAUGAGAUCCUUGCUCGAGGCGUAGAGUAA
rnacentral:rRNA from 1 species